CAGAAAAAAUGUACGCUCCUGCAUGUGUUAUGUCAAUAUUUAUUGCUGCAGAAGCCCUACCUCCCCAACCCACGCCAGCACUCCCACCCCAACCGCCAGCCCCACAACCACAGCCGGCUCCUCAUCAACCAAGGCAACGGAGGCGUGCUAGGCCACCAAUUUUCCGAACCCGUGUCCUACUUUUUGGUAUGCCAGAUGAUGUGGUGGUGCGUAGAUACAGGCUGCCACCACAUCUAAUCCUAGACACUCUCUCCAUAAUAGAGAGUGAUCUGGAGUCUGAAAUUCGGUAUCCUACAGCAAUACCACCAUUGACACAAUUCCUUGCAGUGUUACAUUUUUUGGCUACAGCCUCAUAUCAGCAUGUUGUGGGAGACCUGGUUGGCAUGUCGCAGGGCCAGUUCAGUAAGGUCCUGCGGCGUGUCUGCCAGGCUUUCCUAAAGCGGGUGAAGCAAUUCAUUGAUAUGCCUUUGGAUGUUGGUGCCCUAGAUGUGGUGAAGCGGCAAUUUGAGGAAGGUGGUAGUCGCUUCCCACAUGUUAUUGGGGUUGUGGAUGGCACACAUGUUGCUAUUCAGCCACCAAGACAUAAUGAAGAAAUUUAUAGAAACAGGAAACUGUUUCAUUCUCUGAAUGUAAUGGUUGUUUGUGGGCCAUCCCUCCAGAUCCUUUCCCUGAAUGCAAAAUUUACUGGAAGUUCACAUGAUGCAUAUGUCAUUAGACAAUCAGGGAUAUGGCAGAGAUUAAGAUCAAGUCAACGAGCAGACAUGUGGUUAUUGGGAGACCGUGGAUAUCCUUGCACCCCCUGGCUCAUGACUCCUUACCGUAAUCCCAGGCCAGGACCACAGAUGGCAUUUAACUCCGCGCUUACUGCCACUAGGCAGCUGGUGGAGCGCACAAUUGGUGUCCUUAAAGGGCGGUUUCGUGUGCUCCACCGCACUGGUGGCGACAUCAUGUAUUCGCCGGAGAUGGCAAGUAAAAUAGUGGUCCUGUGCGCAAUACUACAUAAUAUCGCGGUAAGGAGUAGUGUAGAGCUUCCUCAGGCAGAGGAAUUGCCUGAUGAGGAGCCAGGGGUUGUUCGACAUUUCGGUGGGGGGAGUGUUACACGGAGGGGGAGCCAAGU